GCCGCCAUGGACUCUGUUGGUUAGGGUCGCGAGACUUUCAAUCUCGAAGGCGCGGGUUCGAUUCCCGCUGGCGGUA
rnacentral:tRNA from 1 species